rnacentral:snRNA from 1 species
UCACUCACUUCGGCAGCGCAUACACUAAAAUUGGAGUGAUAUAGAGAUUAACAUGGCCCCUGAGCAUAAGUUUUCAAAACACACACAUUAAGAAGUGCUAUGUUCUU